rnacentral:rRNA from 1 species
AACGAACGCUGGCGGCAGGCCUAACACAUGCAAGUCGAGCGCCCCAGCGAUGGGGAGGCGGCGGACGGGUGAGUAACGCGUGGGAACGUGCCCCUUUCUGCGGAAUAGCCUCGGGAAACUGGGAGUAAUACCGCAUAAGCCCUACGGGGGAAAGAUUUAUCGGGAAGGGAUCGGCCCGCGUUGGAUUAGGUAGUUGGUGGGGUAAUGGCCUACCAAGCCGACGAUCCAUAGCUGGUUUGAGAGGAUGAUCAGCCACACUGGGGACUGAGACACGGCCCAGACUCCUACGGGAGGCAGCAGUGGGGGAAUCUUAGACAAUGGGCGCAAGCCUGAUCUAGCCAUGCCCGCGUGAGCGAUGAAGGCCCUUUAGGGGUUGUAAAGCUCUUUCGGCCGGGAAGAAAUACGCACAGGUUAAUACCCUGUGUGGAUGACGGUACCGGAAUAAGAAGCACCGGCUAACUACGUGCCAGCAGCCGCGGUAAAGUAC